CUUCCAUAAUCCUUGUCUUGUAUUUGCCCCUUUCCUUUCAGAGAAUGCUGUGUAUACCUUUGGGCUGGGACAAUUUGGUCAGCUGGGUCUUGGCACUUUUCUUUUUGAAACUUCAGAACCCAAAGUCAUUGAGAAUAUUAGGGAUCAAACAAUAAGUUAUAUUUCUUGUGGAGAAAAUCACACAGCUUUGAUAACAGAUAUCGGCCUUAUGUAUACUUUUGGAGAUGGUCGCCACGGAAAAUUAGGACUUGGACUGGAGAAUUUUACCAAUCACUUCAUUCCUACUUUGUGCUCUAAUUUUUUGAGGUUUAUAGUUAAAUUGGUUGCUUGUGGUGGAUGUCACAUGGUAGUUUUUGCUGCUCCUCAUCGUGGUGUGGCAAAAGAAAUUGAAUUCGAUGAAAUAAAUGAUACUUGCUUAUCUGUGGCGACUUUUCUGCCGUAUAGCAGUUUAACCUCAGGAAAUGUACUGCAGAGGACUCUAUCAGCACGUAUGCGGCGAAGAGAGAGGGAGAGGUCUCCAGAUUCUUUUUCAAUGAGGAGAACACUACCUCCAAUAGAAGGGACUCUUGGCCUUUCUGCUUGUUUUCUCCCCAAUUCAGUCUUUCCACGAUGUUCUGAGAGAAACCUCCAAGAGAGUGUCUUAUCUGAACAGG
rnacentral:lncRNA from 1 species